AACGAACGCUGGCGGCAGGCUUAACACAUGCAAGUCGAACGGGUGCAGCAAUGCAUCAGUGGCAGACGGGUGAGUAACACGUGGGAACCUUCCUAGGGGUACGGAACAACUCAGGGAAACUUGAGCUAAUACCGUAUACGUCCGUAAGGAGAAAGAUUCAUCGCCCCUAGACGGGCCCGCGUCGGAUUAGGUAGUUGGUGGGGUAACGGCCUACCAAGCCUGCGAUCCGUAGCUGAUCUGAGAGGAUGAUCAGCCACACUGGGACUGAGACACGGCCCAGACUCCUACGGGAGGCAGCAGUGGGGAAUCUUGGACAAUGGGCGCAAGCCUGAUCCAGCCAUGCCGCGUGAGUGAAGAAGGCCUUAGGGUUGUAAAGCUCUUUUACUAGGGACGAUAAUGACGGUACCUGGAGAA
rnacentral:rRNA from 1 species